CUUCCGGUGCUUUCAGGCGGGCGGAGAGGCGGCGUUCAGGCAGUGCGGCGGGCAGCCCCGCGCGUGCGCACACGGAAGGUCCGGGCGGACGCCGCGACCGCAGCGCGGAGUUCCGGGACGCGAAAGGAACGGACAGAAAUUGCGGACCCAGCGGUUUAUUGAGAGCGGCGCUGAGGGCUGAACUCACGGCCGCGUCUCUUAGAGCACGGAAACACGGUUUGUUGCCCAGAAAUGCAAAAGACACAGGGGCAAGAACAUUUGAGAGUGAGCCACUUCAUGAGGGCACCAACAGAGCCAAAUUAGAGACCCCAGAGUGAAGCAAUCAGAUGAAUGGACACACAAAAGCUACUGAGGAAGAGUGCAUGACCUGUUUUCCCUCGACUACGUUCUCACCACGCACGUGAAAUCAUAUAAAAGCUGAAGAAACCUCUUU